AUUGAACGCUAGCGGCAUGCCUAACACAUGCAAGUCGAACGAGUGGCGGACGGGUGCGUAAUAUAUCGGAAUGUGCCCAGUAGCGGGGGAAAACUACUCGAAAGUGUGGACAAUACCGCAUACUAUUGUAGCGGCAGAUAUGGGUUUAGCUAGUUGGUGGGGUAAAGGCUCACCAAGGAAACGAGCCGUAGCGGGUGUGAGAGGAGGACCAGCCACACUGGGACUGAGACACGGCCCAGACUCCUACGGGAGGCAGCAGUGGGGAAUUUUGGACAAUGGGGGAAACCCUGAUGCAGCCAUCCCGCGGGUAUGAGAAGGCCUUCGGGUUGUAAAGUACUUUUGGUAGGGAGGCGGUAUCUACAGAAUAAGCACCGGCUAACUACGUGCCAGCAGCCGCGGUAAUUC
rnacentral:rRNA from 1 species